rnacentral:rRNA from 1 species
GGAGGUAGUGACAAUAAAUCACAAUGCGGGACUAUUUAGUUUUGCAAUUGGAUUGAGAACAAUGUACAAGAGUUAUCGAUAAACAAUUGGAGGGCAAGUCUGGUGCCAGCAGCCGCGGUAAUUCCAGCUCCAAUAGCGUAUAUUAACGUUGUUGCAGUUAAAAAGCUCGUAGUUGAAGUGUGGGGUGAAAGGUUUGUUUUGCUUUUGCAAGAUGUUCUGCUCACCCCCUCUCCAAUGUGUUAUUAUGGGUAUUAAUUUACUUGUACUAGCUAUUGGUCAUUUACUGUGAGAAAAUUAGAGUGUUCAAAGCAGGCAUUUGCUUGAAUAUAUUAGCAUGGAAUAAUAGUAAAAGGCUUUUAUGGUCGAUUUAAUUGGUUUGUUCAUGAAAGCAAGAUUAACAGGGACAGUUGGGGGUAUUCAUAUUCAAUAGUUAGAGGUGAAAUUCUCGGAUUUAUGGAAGAUGAACAAGUGCGAAAGCA